rnacentral:rRNA from 1 species
GAUGAACGCUGGCGGCGUGCCUAAUACAUGCAAGUCGAGCGAACGGACGAGAAGCUUUCUUCUCUGAUGUUAGCGGCGGACGGGUGAGUAACACGUGGAUAACCUACCUAUAAGACUGGGAUAACUUCGGGAAACCGGAGCUAAUACCGGAUGAUAUUUUGAACCGCAUGGUUCAAAAGUGAAAGACGGUCUUGCUGUCACUUAUAGAUGGAUCCGCGCUGCAUUAGCUAGUUGGUAAGGUAACGGCUUAACAAGGCAACGAUGCAUAGCCGACCUGAGAGGGUGAUCGGCCAGACUGGAACUGAGAAAGGGUCCAGACUCCUACGGGAGGCAGCAGUAGGGAAUCUUCCGCAAUGGGCGAAAGCCUGACGGAGCAAAGCCGCGUGAGUGAUGAAGGUCUUCGGAUCGUAAAACUCUGUUAGUAGGGAAGAACAUAUGUGUAAGUAACUGUGCACAUCUUGACGGUACCUAAUCAGAAAGCCACGGCUAACUACGUG